rnacentral:pre_miRNA from 1 species
CCCACACUCAUAUGUGUAAGACCCCAAAGGAUCACCUUUAAAUUUAGCACAAAUCUCUAGAAAAGUUAUCACAUGGGUGUGGGACUUGGCUUUUCUAGAGAUCUGUGCCAAAUUUAAUUGCGAUUUUUUGGGGUCCUACACACAUGGGUGUGGG